rnacentral:rRNA from 1 species
GUGGGGAAUAUUGGACAAUGGGCGAAAGCCUGAUCCAGCCAUGCCGCGUGAGUGAUGAAGGCCUUAGGGUUGUAAAGCUCUUUUGUCCGGGAAGAUAAUGACUGUACCGGAAGAAUAAGCCCCGGCUAACUUCGUGCCAGCAGCCGCGGUAAUACGAAGGGGGCUAGCGUUGCUCGGAAUCACUGGGCGUAAAGGGCGCGUAGGCGGACUUUUAAGUCGGAGGUGAAAGCCCAGGGCUCAACCCUGGAAUUGCCUUCGAUACUGGGAGUCUUGAGUUCGGAAGAGGUUGGUGGAACUGCGAGUGUAGAGGUGAAAUUCGUAGAUAUUCGCAAGAACACCGGUGGCGAAGGCGGCCAACUGGUCCGAAACUGACGCUGAGGCGCGAAAGCGUGGGGAGCAAACAGGAUUAGAUACCCGGGUAGUCC